GUUCUAUUUUUAUUACAAUGUAAUAAAAAUUGAAAUACACCUUAGGCUGAAAAGCAGAAGUGCAAUCAGUCUUCUAGUAUGCAGGUAAAAAUUAAUAUAUGUUACUUCGAGCUUGAGAGGAAAAAUAAUUACUUGUGUGGAGAAACACACUUUACCUGUUAUACUCUGAUGAAUUCAGGUAGCUAUAUUUUUAGAGUUAUCUAUGUUUUUCAUGUGAAUCAUGUCAUUAAGGGAAAAUCCUUACUUCUAAGCAAAAGCUGGACAAGGAGCAAGUGAAAUCACUUGCCUCCUGAUCAUCCAUACCAGUAAACUAGUAGGUCAUGCCUUGCAGGCUCUGUUGUCUAUUGUUUCGAUCUAUUUCCAGCACAGAUCUGCUGCUAAGGGACUAGCUCCAAACAUUAUAAAUACAGGCUGUUCCACAGAACUACACUGAGUGCUUCUUUGGUCUUCAUUUACUAAACAGUACAGACACAACACAGGCAACUUGCCUUUACUUGCCUCGGUGAUUUGCUCUUAGUUCUCUACUGUAGCAUCACAUACACUUCACCUUUGCUGUACUGUUUUUUUAAGGACACAUCAAGGAGUUUUCUUUAAAAAACACUCAGAACUUAACCUUGCAGGCUUUGCUAACCCAGCUAACCCAAUAAAGAUCAUACAGUAUAAGAGUGCUGUUAGACUCAGCGUGAAUACUGAAGGCGUGGUUAAUUUUGGUUGGGAAAGCAAAGACACGGGAAAGCUUAAAGUAUUUUUUGUUCUGUUUUGUUCUGUCCUAUUUUGUUGUGAGCAAAUAAAACUACAGCAGCCACUAACUCCAGCUAGCACCAAGAAUGGAAUGUCUUCAGCCCAUUUGGUAUGGUUGUACCAUGCUACCCUCUAACUAACAUGGUUUGGAGAGAGAAGAUUUUUCUCUCUGACAUCUGGAAAGCUGGCUUCUGUCUCAAGCAAAUUCCACACAUCUGAAUACAAAGAUCAUUUUAAUAUAGUUUAAAUAUGAGACUUCAAUAUUAAACAUUACCAAGGUAUUUUAUCUCUGCAUCUGACAAACAAGGAAUAUUAGAAAAGAUCAAGCGGAGUAUCUGAGCAGCAGAAGGUACUAGAAGGUUCAUUAGAUAAAAAGUCAACAGAAAUUUAAAUCCUAACCCCAGAAGGAAAUUGCUCACAUUUGUAUUUCGGAAGGAUUUUUCUCCAAAUUUCUCUCCAGGUUAAGAAGAAUAGACCUGGAAACAGCGACUUCUAAUCCAAACUGAAAAAAGAUUUAUGUCCAUUUGCCAAAGUAUUAGUUCUCAGUGGAUAUGUAUGCAUUCAAUAUUUUCUAUAAUAUUACAUGGUUUGCUGUUGCCGGAGUCUGUUCAGCCACUCUAAAUAUUUUUUGCUUAAGGAUAUAUUUUAUUUCUGUUGAUGUGAAAACCUGAGCCGUGCAGCUUUCUAGGCUACAAAUUCAUGAGUGACAGUCAGACAUGACCAGAAUUUCUCUCUCUCUUCAGCACGCUUGGUAAGCAGAAAUAUGGGCACAGUGUCUUAAGCAUAAGCAGGGCGUUUGGAUGUUAAAGUGUCAUUUCAAAGACUACCAGCAAGUAGUACUACAAUGGAAUUUGUAAGUAGUCUAAAAAAAGAAAAAAAAAAACCUUGAUGAAAAAAUGAAUUAAUUUAUUUCCAGCCAGGGAAUGUGACACAUUAAGAGGCCAGCAAAGCCAAGUUCAUGAAAGAGGAUUCCUCUAGAUGGAACUCUUGAAUUUGAGAGUUGACAGUCGCGUAACAAAUGCAUGGAAACAUUCAGUAAAGAUGAAAUGCCACUUAGGAAAUUAUUCUCUUCCUCAGCCGGUUAUUUCUCCCACUGAAACACCUUCUCACAGGAAAAUGGGCUUAUCUCACCUACUCAGCCUGUGGCACAAUGAAACAUGGCUCUUCUGUGUAGAAGACUUGAAUUUAAAGGACAGGAAUAAUGCAGUAAAAUAAAUAAAAUGAUGACUACAGUAGAGGUUUUGACAAGUGCAGAGAGAUAUCUGUGCGUUCCUUCUAGGAUAGGAUUAAAGCUGCUAAUCAAGAAUUUUAGAUUUUACUCAGCUCAACUGAACUUCCUACCAACAUUUGCAAACCUGCCUGGAUUAGAAAUAGGAUUUUUUAAAAACUUUUUAGAAUCUUUUCAUCAUUCUGGAACUGAAACAUCGCCGUGAAAAACUUGAGAAGUGAAAGGGCAACAGAAAAACAAGUUCACUUAAACAUAAUCUUAAGAUACAAUCAACUACAGACACAACAAUAGAAGAGGCAUAAUAUUGCUUAGCAGUUUUAUCAGCAGCAUCAAAAACAAAUAUGAUACCUUCAAAAAUAAUUGUUAAAAAUAUGUGGAAGAAAAAGAAAACAUAUAUUUCCACGUUGUGAAGUGGUACCCUUUAGCUUCUGAAAAACACGGAGACACCAGCAGCAACAGCUGGGCACCACCAGUGUAUUCAAUGAGAGCACAAAAGCAAAUGCUAAGAUGACAAAGAGCUUUGCAGGAUAAGACACUGGAGUCAAAGAACUUGCAUGGCGAAAUGUAUUGUGGGGCAAUGGCUCCUCGCUACUCAUACUGAAGAUUCCAGGGCCUAGAACCCUCCAUCAACACUGCAGCAAAACUAACCCUCAUAACUGAGGUAUCUACUGUUAAGCACAGCACAUGGUGUGGAAAUAACAGAGACACAUUGGAAAGCAGUGUGAUACAAGGUCUGUGAAGGGAUUUAUUGGUCUCAGAGAAUGCCAUCAGCCUGUCCUGGCUGUUAAACAAGGACUAAUUCAAAUCUACAGAAGCCCUUCCAAACAUCCUUUUCAGGGACUUACUCAAACCCCCUUAAGCACAGAAGCACUCAGCCACACUGCUCUAACCACACUGUGCAGGCUCAGAAGGUGCUGAUACCACACCUGCUGAGGAUUCGCCACCGCAUCCUGCAUGAACCAAUGAAUGGAGCCACACCUGAAGCGGUAGUCACUAUCUCACCUUCCCAUGCCCCAGAAGCUGCUUGCUGUGGUAGUGCCUCCAAGCCUGUUCCCAACCCCUCUCUCCCAAGGACAACACAUAUUUAAUCUCUCUCAACUGCCCAGGUUGGCACAAGGGCCUUCCCAAGGUUUUCCUGCCAAGGACAGGUCCCAGGAACAGCAUGGGGCCCAGGCCCUUGCACAGCUCAUGGAUCAUGGAUCAUAGAGUCAUAGAGUCAUUAAAGAUGGAAAAGACCACAAAAUCAACUGGUCCAACUGUCCACCUACCACCAAUGAACCGUGUCCCUCAGUGCCACAUCCAUGCAGUUCUUGAAUACGUCCAGUGGCAAUGUCUCCACCACCUCCCUGGGCACCCUGUGCCACUGCCUCAAUGUUAUUUUGGAGAAGUUUUUCCUAAUAUCCAGUCUGAACUUGCUCCCCAGCACCUCCAAGUUACAGCUCCUCUUCAUCUCCACUUAUCUGUCCCUCGUGCAUUUUAUAGUACUUAUCCUGAUUAUCAUCUGCUAUUGUGGAAAUAUCACACACUUUGUAGUUAGUCACUUUGUUCCGGUGCCAAGGAUGCUCUUAAGCUCCUGUUGCUAGUAGCACCGGUUUCUCCUCAUGGCAUAGAUCCUUAAAUGCAGUAGUUACACAUGACUUGAGCAGCACAUAUUUCUUCCUAAAAUAACACAGGUGUCUCUAUAGACCUUCACUAGGCCUUUGAUGCACUCCAGGCAUCCUGCUUUUAAGUCUGUUACUCGGGAACACAACUAAAAUAAUUGGGCUUUCGUACUUUCUAAGUCUUCACUUUUUUUUUUUCUGACUUCUAACAGGGUGAGUGGUCAGGUGAGAUACAGAGCUCAGAGGAAGCUGGAAGAAAAGAGAAUACAUGAGUAUGCUAGGAAUUAAGCUAGCUCUUGUUGCUUGCCUCAAGAGAGGUGUGUGAAGCCUGCAGAGCAGUUGAUCAUAGAUGAUAGUACAAUUCUGAAAACAAGAGAAGAAGGUGAAUGAAAUGGAAAAAAUAAGCCAAAGGACACAAAGAAGUAUGGAGCUCCCGAAGCAGAAUUUCAUUCUUCUGAAAAGAACAGACAAAAUCCCUGGAGAUUCCUAUCUUGAUCAUACCAGCAGGGAAAUCCACAUCUGUGGCAGGUGUGAAAUGAAGAUCAUUCCAGCUCCUUCACUGGGUGCUGCCUGGGCUCAGGCGGGUGGAUGGAAGGAUGCACAAGGUGCCCAGAGAUGAGUCACUGAGACUUCAGUGGUGUCCAAGUGGAGCACUUCCUGUCUUCUUCCGAAAUUCCUGUUGCUCACAGUACACAAGUUAAUCUGCAUCAAAUCUUUGCUACAAAAUUAAUCCGUUCUCUUGACAGGGAUAUUUGAGUACAAGUGAGAGGCUAUAACUUGUGCAGACUAACCCCUCAGAACACAUGCAUGCUCAGUGUGGUGCCUUUGGCCUGCUCCAAUCCUCCAAGGAUACACCAGCAAGGCCCUCAUCCUGCCAUAGCCCCCAGUAUCCACAUACUGUGCCACCAAAGUGUGGUAAGAGCAGGCUGCAAACUAACCUUCCUGUUUGCUUCCAGAUUUUCUGCUUAUACAUGGCACAUGCACAGUAUUUGAGGUCAAGGUCUAGGGAAGAUGGGAACCUGCUCCCUAGAUGGUACUACAUUUACGCACAUGUAUUUGUAGGUGGGAAAAACUACUCUGGCAAAAUACAGAUAUCCUGAACUUGCGGUAUAACAUUUGCUAGGGCCCAGGAAUAUCCUCCAUGUGGGCAAUGGGGUCCCAGGAUAGGAGGAAGAAAUAUAUAUCUUGUGAUACAGAUGUUCUCAUCAUUUUUGAAGUGUUUUUCCACUGCUACCAGGGCUUAAGUGGCUCGAGGUUAAAUGUUUAUUAACCAAAUAGAAUAAAAUCAUUAUAUAUGCUUUUAAUGAAGUCAUCAUUUGAAGUAUUAUAACCUAAAGAGACAAAUAAAAGUAUUAAAGAGGAAAAACACAAAAUAUCCAUUAAACAUAUCCAGGGUCUGAAACCAGGCCUGUGCUGGUUGUAAGCAAAUUGCAUUGUGUAGCUGCACCAGUAUCUCCAUGCAAGCAGCCAUGGGAUAUGCUCCCUACAUAAUAAACUCCAGGAGAAAGUUUUUUCAGUAUCUACACAUGCAAGCCAACGGUAAGGGCAGCAACCUAGACUUACCCUGGUGUGACCUUGUAUGUGAUCCAAAUGAAAUUAGUAGGGUUGAACAGGUUUUUAAACCAGGAGAGCAGAACGUCCACUUCUAGCUGUCAAAAUGGCAAACUAAAUCUAAUGAUACAGUUUUGCCCUUCUCUGUAAGAUAACUGAAGUGAGCAACUCUUUUUGCUGAAAUCAGAUUCGUUGGGAGUGGGGACCUUGGUGAGGUUAUAGAAUGAUUCCUUCAGCAAAGACCUGAAGUGGAAAAUGCUCCGUCCUAAAAAAAAAAAUAAGAGAUAAUGACUCUAGAGACAGAGAUUUGUUACAUUAGGCGUAAAUCAGAUGUGAAAUUAAAUCCAUAUGGUAAAGGUUAACGUGUAAGAAAUAUUGCAUAUUGAUUGCAGCGCUUUAGAAUUGGCCCAUUUUUCAUUAGCAUUUUUUUGGCUUUGCUAUAGGCACCAGAAAUGAUACAGAAUGCCUAAGAAUUACCUGCAGCUGUAAAUGGUAUUGCAAGUUUGACAAAGAUAAUAAUGCUUUCCUUAUUCUUGUAAUAAUAGUAAGCAGCAGAGAUCCCUAAUAGCAGCAUCAAUUCCUUCUCACAAGCAAGGAAAAAUUAACAUGGGUGAAAGAAACCGUGCAGAUCUCCCAAUAAAACCAUGAAGUUGGUAGUAAAAUGAUCCAGCAGCAAAGGAAAAAGCAAAAUCAAUAGCAAAAAAAAAUGUGUUAAUUAGUACCUUCUCCAUUCUGCAGGAUAUAUAUCAGGCUUCAGUGCUUGCAAAAGCAGGAAAGCCUAUGGUAUCAGGGCAGCAGUCACUGAAACUCGUCUCUAUGGCUGAGCAAUUGUCC
ensembl:lncRNA